UUUUUUUUUCACAAGGGUGUUAUUUAUUCAUAGACAAUCGGACCAAGCCAAUUGUAACAAGCCAAAUAUUUUACAAACCAUUAAAAUAAACAUACCACUAAAACAUAAUAAUGAAAGCCCAAAAGCCCAAAUAGGGAAACCUAACAAUGAAGAAAAAGCAUUCGACAACAGCGAGGAUACGUGACAGAAGGAAACAAGUUAGAUGCCACGUGGGAAGCCAAAGAAGAUGGAUUCUGGUCGAAGGCACCGUGAAGUUUCUCAAUUCUUGUAUCAGAUCUCAAUCUUCGCCGAGAGAAUUAAAGGCGAAAUCCCAGUCUGCUUCAGAUAAAGAUCUGAUCUUGGCUGCUUUCACUCCAAACAGAUCAAACUAAGGACUACUAAAAAGAGUAAAUCCAGCCUAAAGUUUCAACAGAAAAUUAAAAGACUAAAAGGGGAAAAACCAAAUUUCUCACUUAAUCCCCAUCCUAGGAACAUUUACACUUAACACGCGACCUAGUGAAGCCAUGAGUGCAAUCCAGUCAACCCAAAACUUCGGUAAGACACUCAGUCACGAAGAUCCCAAAGCUUGAAAGAGUUGUAAGCCAAAGAUUAAACUUCUACGAUUCUUAUUCAUCUUCUUCUUCAAACAAACGCUUUUAAUCUUCAAAGAAAUUACGUAGUUCACCAAAGAUAGACUUGCUUUCAUCAAAACCGUUUCAAAUCCAAAGUUUUUCUUUUUUCCUUUGACAAGGGCUGGUAUCCGUCGAUCCAAGACAAACUCCGAUCAAUUGGACAUCAAUCUUCGUCAGAUCCAAAACCAAAAAAAUCCCAACUGGCGGUGGUAACACCAGAUAGAGACCCAACUGAUCUCGCUACAGAAACCGAUAUCGUUAGAGCAAAGCCAGCCACAUGUGUUAUAUAAACCACCUAUGCCGGAGACAAAGCCGGCCACAUGUGCCAUGGAAACCACAUAUGCCAGAGACAAAGCCAGCCAUAGGUGUCAUGGAAACCACCUAUGCUGGAGACAAACCCGACCAACCAACCAUCGCUGUGUAAGCUGGAGGAGGUCGGACGGAAAACCGAUUAACAAAUCGGACGGCGGAGCAAAAGGAGUCUCUCUCUCUCUCUAAAAGAUUUUUAGAGAGAUAAGAGAGAGAGCUCUUUUUCUUUAAUUAAGUCCUUUUUUCUUCUAAGAUAAAUUUAUUUUGGAAAAAAGAUUGUGAGCUACCUGAAGUAUGGCGGAAUGCAUUACCACACAUGCCAACUAUGAUAAAGGACACUCAACUACAUCACCUAUAUGUAUUGCAUGAUCACAUGUAUGAAGUAUAUGAUGUUAUGUGCUCAACAUCAUACAUAUAGAAUCUCGGUUUACCUGAUCAUUUACGCUGACGUUGACCUACCAUUGACUCGUCGGAACCGAAAAAAAGACCCGAUCGGAUUAUUGACCCGAACCCGAGACCUGACCCGGUUCAGAUAAUUGUUGGGUUUAGUUUUUGGGCCGAAAUUUAAUUAAAAUUUAGGCCCAU